AAAGUGGGGAAUGACAAAAAAAGUUUGAGAACCACUGACCUAGGGUGAGGCUCAGCCAUUGCACCCCAGCUGUGCUGACCCUUACGAAUUCCCCAAAUGUGGGAAUCUCGACUGCAUAAUUUGUGGUAGUGGGGGACUGCGUACGCGCUCUCCCCUG